UACGUAGGGGGCAAGCGUUGUCCGGAUUCACUGGGCGUAAAGAGCGUGUAGGCGGCCUGAAAGGUCAGCUGUGAAAACUCGAGGCUCAACCUCGAGACGUCGGUUGAAACCAUCUGGCUAGAGUCCGGAAGAGGAGUGUGGAAUUCCCGGUGUAGCGGUGAAAUGCGCAGAUAUCGGGAAGAACACCCGUGGCGAAAGCGGCACUCUGGGACGGUACUGACGCUGAGACGCGAAAGCGUGGGGAGCGAACAGG
rnacentral:rRNA from 1 species